GGUAAAUUCGAGUGAUUUCGUCUCUAACUUGUCGGAGGAAACGUGAAAGGGUUGUGGCCGUCGUGCAGCCUACCGUCAACUAUUUUGUUCAAAAUCAUUUUAUUCUACUGGAUGUGUCAUCGAAAGGAUACAGCUCUGGACUCUGGGGAAUCCUCACUUAUACUCGAGUCAACCUGCAAACAGGUUGGCCAGUUUGUCCUUACGAACGCUUGAAGGUCACGAGAAACAUUACGUAAAACUGGCAUGUGGUGGUUUAGAGGUUGGGUGAGAACGACACGCGUUUCAACAUUAUCAAGCAG
rnacentral:misc_RNA from 1 species